rnacentral:rRNA from 1 species
AGCGAACGCUGGCGGCAGGCCUAACACAUGCAAGUCGAGCGGCCGUAGCAAUACGGCAGCGGCAGACGGGAGAGUAACACGUGGGAACGUGCCCAUCAGUUCGGAACAACCCAGGGAAACUUGGGCUAAUACAGGAUACGCCCUUACGGGGAAAGAUUUAUCGCUGAUGGAGCGGCCCGCGUCGGAUUAGCUAGUUGGUGAGGUAACGGCUCACCAAGGCGACGAUCAGUAGCUGGUCUGAGAGGAUGAUCAGCCUCACUGGGACUGAGACACGGCCCAGACUCCUACGGGAGGCAGCAGUGGGGAAUAUUGGACAAUGGGCGCAAGCCUGAUCCAGCCAUGCCGCGUGGAUGAUGAAGGCCCUAGGGUUGUAAAGUCCUUUCGGCGGGGAAGAUAAUGACGGUACCCGCAGAAGAAGCCCCGGCUAACUUCGUGCCAGCCGCCGCAGUAA